rnacentral:rRNA from 1 species
GACGAACGCUGGCGGCGUGCCUAAUACAUGCAAGUCGAACGCAGUGGGGACGGGUGAGUAACACGUGGGUAACCUCCCAUCAGAGGGGAUAACACUUGGAAACAGGUGCUAAACCGAUACUGAUGGAUGGAACCGCGGUGCAUUAGCUAGUUGGUGAGGUAACGGCUCACCAAGGCCACGAUGCAUAGCCGGCCGGAGAGGGUGAUCGGCCCACCAGGAGGUGAGAAACGGCCCAGACUCCUCCGGGAGGCAGCAGUAGGGAAUGUGCGGCAAUGGACGAAAGUCUGACCGAGCAACGCAGCGUGAGUGAGGAAGGUUUUCGGAGCGUAAAACACUGUUGUUAGAGAAGCGGUAUCUAACCAGAAAGCAACGGCUAACUACGUGCCAGCCGCCGCGGUAAUAC